GACGAACGCUGGCGGCGUGCUUAACACAUGCAAGUCGAACGGAAAGGCCCUGCUUUUGUGGGGUGCUCGAGUGGCGAACGGGUGAGUAACACGUGAGUAACCUGCCCUUGACUUUGGGAUAACUUCAGGAAACUGGGGCUAAUACCGGAUAGGAGCUCCUGCUGCAUGGUGUGGGUUGGAAAGUUUCGGCGGUUGGGGAUGGGCUCGCGGCUUAUCAGCUUGUUGGUGGGGUAGUGGCUUACCAAGGCUUUGACGGGUAGCCGGCCUGAGAGGGUGACCGGCCACAUUGGGACUGAGAUACGGCCCAGACUCCUACGGGAGGCAGCAGUGGGGAAUAUUGCACAAUGGGCGGAAGCCUGAUGCAGCAACGCCGCGUGCGGGAUGACGGCCUUCGGGUUGUAAACCGCUUUCGCCUGUGACGAAGCGUGAGUGACGGUAAUGGGUAAAGAAGCACCGGCUAACUACGUG
rnacentral:rRNA from 1 species